UAUAUAUAUAUAUAUAUAUAUAUAUACACACACACACAUAUAUGUGUGUGUAUGUGUGUGUGUGUGUGUGUAUAGUAAGGAUAGGGAAAAUA
rnacentral:miRNA from 1 species